rnacentral:rRNA from 1 species
UGCAAGUCGAGGGGCAGCAUAAUGGAUAGCAAUAUCUAUGGUGGCGACCGGCGCACGGGUGCGUAACGCGUAUGCAACCUACCUUUAACAGGGGGAUAACACUGAGAAAUUGGUACUAAUACCCCAUAAUAUCAUAGAAGGCAUCUUUUAUGGUUGAAAAUUCCGAUGGUUAGAGAUGGGCAUGCGUUGUAUUAGCUAGUUGGUGGGGUAACGGCUCACCAAGGCGACGAUACAUAGGGGGACUGAGAGGUUAACCCCCCACACUGGUACUGAGACACGGACCAGACUCCUACGGGAGGCAGCAGUGAGGAAUAUUGGUCAAUGGACGCAAGUCUGAACCAGCCAUGCCGCGUGCAGGAUGACGGCUCUAUGAGUUGUAAACUGCUUUUGUACGAGGGUAAACGCAGAUACGUGUAUCUGUCUGAAAGUAUCGUACGAAUAAGGAUCGGCUAACUCCGUGCCAGCAGCCGCGGUAAUACGGAGGAUUCAAGCGUUAUCCGGAUUUAUUGGGUUUAAAGGGUGCGUAGGCGGUUUGAUAAGUUAGAGGUGAAAUUUCGGGGCUCAACCCUGAACGUGCCUCUAAUACUGUUGAGCUAGAGAGUAGUUGCGGUAGGCGGAAUGUAUGGUGUAGCGGUGAAGUGCUUAGAGAUCAUACAGAACACCGAUUGCGAAGGCAGCUUACCAAACUAUAUCUGACGUUGAGGCACGAAAGCGUGGGGAGCAAACAGGAUUAGAUACCCUGGUAGUCCACGCAGUAAACGAUGAUAACUCGUUGUCGGCGAUACACAGUCGGUGACUAAGCGAAAGCGAUAAGUUAUCCACCUGGGGAGUACGUUCGCAA